rnacentral:snoRNA from 1 species
AAUCCGUGUUGUGAGCAUUGGCGAAGUAAACCCUUGUAUCAUUCUCAAGCCUCCGAAUAGCAUUCCGAGUCCACUUGCUGAAAAGUAGUGAUCUCAUCCCUUAGCUU